GACGAACGCUGGCGGCGUGCCUAAUACAUGCAAGUCGAACGCAUUUUCUUUCACCGUAGCUUGCUACACCGAAAGAAAAUGAGUGGCGAACGGGUGAGUAACACGUGGGUAACCUGCCCAUCAGCGGGGGAUAACACUUGGAAACAGGUGCUAAUACCGCAUAAUUCCAUUUACCGCAUGGUAAAUGGAUGAAAGGCGCUUUUGCGUCACUGAUGGAUGGACCCGCGGUGCAUUAGCUAGUUGGUGGGGUAACGGCCUACCAAGGCUGCGAUGCAUAGCCGACCUGAGAGGGUGAUCGGCCACACUGGGACUGAGACACGGCCCAGACUCCUACGGGAGGCAGCAGUAGGGAAUCUUCGGCAAUGGACGCAAGUCUGACCGAGCAACGCCGCGUGAGUGAAGAAGGGUUUCGGAUUGUAAAACUCUGUUGUUAGAGAAGAACAAGGAUGAGAGUGGAAAGUUCAUCCCUUGACGGUAUCUAACCAGAAAGCCACGGCUAACUACGUG
rnacentral:rRNA from 1 species